UGUGACAUUCAACACGUGGAGAUA
rnacentral:siRNA from 1 species